rnacentral:lncRNA from 1 species
GGGAUGUGUGCUUUACAUAAUGCUGUGACUCACACAGGAAAUCAGUUCUUUGGCUGCUUAAAACCUAAUAGGAAAAGUAAAACUGGCCUCUGAAUAUGAUAAGAGCAUAUGACACAUAGCACAGGAGACUGAAAAUUAAGUAUUGUGAUAGUUUACUUUCAGGUAGCAGCUUAACCAUCACUUUUCAAUGAUGCUUUCCUUGACCUCUUACUACACCUUAGUUUGAUAACUCUUUAUCCCAUUGUGUCCCUGUGUUUUUAUUCUGAUUAUUUGUUUACUCUCUUCCUUCUACUAGGGUGUAAGUUUCCAGGGGGCAGACAUCAACACAAGAGUUUCUUGGGAAAAGACUGAAACCUGAGUCUCAGGCAGAGGGGAAGUCAAUGUUUUAAGGAAGGGAGCAGCCAAUGAAGAUACCCAGGAGUGGGAAGAGUGAGGAGUCUGUCUGGCAGAGGGUAAACAUGAAGGAGACUACGAGCUGGGGCCAGAGAGGUACUGCGGGUUCAAAUCCUGAAGUGCCAUGUGUGGAGGCUUCAGAGAUCAGGCACAGCCCCAUCAUCCCACUGAGCACAGACAUCUGAAUGACGUUGCAUUUACCAUGUGAAAUGUGACUAU